UACGGGGGGGGCAAGCGUUGUUCGGAAUUACUGGGCGUAAAGGGCUCGUAGGCGGCCAACUAAGUCAGACGUGAAAUCCCUCGGCUUAACCGGGGAACUGCGUCCGAUACUGGCAGGCUUGAAUCCGGGAGAGGGAUGCGGAAUUCCAGGUGUAGCGGUGAAAUGCGUAGAUAUCUGGAGGAACACCGGUGGCGAAGGCGGCAUCCUGGACCGGCAUUGACGCUGAGGCGCGAAAGCCAGGGAGCAAAGCGGG
rnacentral:rRNA from 1 species